rnacentral:piRNA from 1 species
UGGUAUGACCUUCAUCUUGCUGGUGACA